AGCGAACGCUGGCGGCAGGCUUAACACAUGCAAGUCGAGCGGGCCUUUCGGGGUCAGCGGCGGUCGGGUGGGUAACGCGUGGGAACGUGCCCUCUGGUUCGGAAUAACUCAGGGAAACUUGAGCUAAUACCGGAUACGCUCUUUUCGGGAAAGGCUUGCUGCCGGAGGAUCGGCCCGCGUCUGAUUAGCUUGUUGGUGAUGUAACGGCACACCAAGGCGACGAUCAGUAGCUGGUCUGAUAGGAUGAUCAGCCACACUGGGACUGAGACACGGCCCAGACUCCUACGGGAGGCAGCGGUGGGGAAUAUUGGACAAUGGGCGCAAGCCUGAUCCAGCCAUGCCGCGUGAGUGAUGAAGGCCUUAGGGUUGUAAAGCUCUUUUAUCCGGGACGAUAAUGACGGUACCGGAGGAAUAAGCCCCGGCUAACUUCGUG
rnacentral:rRNA from 1 species